rnacentral:rRNA from 1 species
UCUGUGGGGGUUGAAAGCUCCGGCGGUGAAGGAUGAGCCCGCGGCCUAUCAGCUUGUUGGUGAGGUAGUGGCUCACCAAGGCGACGACGGGUAGCCGGCCUGAGAGGGCGACCGGCCACACUGGGACUGAGACACGGCCCAGACUCCUACGGGAGGCAGCAGUGGGGAAUAUUGCACAAUGGGCGCAAGCCUGAUGCAGCGACGCCGCGUGAGGGAUGACGGCCUUCGGGUUGUAAACCUCUUUCAGCAGGGAAGAAGCGAGAGUGACGGUACCUGCAGAAGAAGCGCCGGCUAACUACGUGCCAGCAGCCGCGGUAAUACGUAGGGCGCAAGCGUUGUCCGGAAUUAUUGGGCGUAAAGAGCUCGUAGGCGGUCUGUCGCGUCGGUUGUGAAAGCCCGGGGCUUAACCCCGGGUCUGCAGUCGAUACGGGCAGACUAGAGUGUGGUAGGGGAGAUCGGAAUUCCUGGUGUAGCGGUGAAAUGCGCAGAUAUCAGGAGGAACACCGGUGGCGAAGGCGGAUCUCUGGGCCAUUACUGACGCUGAGGAGCGAAAGCGUGGGGAGCGAACAGGAUUAGAUACCCUGGUAGUCCACGCCGUAAACGGUGGGAACUAGGUGUUGGCGACAUUCCACGUCGUCGGUGCCGCAGCUAACGCAUUAAGUUCCCCGCCUG